AAUAGAUACCCAGGUAGUCCAUGCCGUAAACGAUGUCUACUAGCCGUUGGGGCCUUUGAGGCUUUAGUGGCGCAGCUAACGCGAUAAGUAGACCGCCUGGGGAGUACGGUCGCAAGACUAAAACUCAAAUGAAUUGACGGGGGCCCGCACAAGCGGUGGAGCAUGUGGUUUAAUUCGAUGCAACGCGAAGAACCUUACCUGGUCUUGACAUACAGAGAACUUUCCAGAGAUGGAUUGGUGCCUUCGGGAACUCUGAUACAGGUGCUGCAUGGCUGUCGUCAGCUCGUGUCGUGAGAUGUUGGGUUAAGUCCCGCAACGAGCGCAACCCUUUUCCUUACUUGCCAGCAUUUCGGAUGGGAACUUUAAGGAUACUGCCAGUGACAAACUGGAGGAAGGCGGGGACGACGUCAAGUCAUCAUGGCCCUUACGACCAGGGCUACACACGUGCUACAAUGGUCGGUACAAAGGGUUGCUACACAGCGAUGUGAUGCUAAUCUCAAAAAGCCGAUCGUAGUCCGGAUUGG
rnacentral:rRNA from 1 species